ACAAGGCCUUUACUGACGCUAAAGCUCGAAGGUGCGGGUAUCGAACAGGAUUAGAUACCCUGGUAGUCCGCACGGUAAACGAUGGAUGCCCGCUGUUUGCGAUAUACUGUGAGCGGCCAAGAGAAAUCGUUAAGCAUCCCACCUGGGGAGUACGCCGGCAACGGUGAAACUCAAAGGAAUUGACGGGGGCCCGCACAAGCGGAGGAACAUGUGGUUUAAUUCGAUGAUACGCGAGGAACCUUACCCGGGCUUGAACUGCAGGAGAAGGAUACAGAGAUGUUGACGUCCUUCGGGACUCCUGUGGAGGUGCUGCAUGGUUGUCGUCAGCUCGUGCCGUGAGGUGUCGGCUUAAGUGCCAUAACGAGCGCAACCCUUUUCGCCAGUUGCCAUCAGGUGAUGCUGGGCACUCUGGGGAUACUGCCACCGUAAGGUGUGAGGAAGGUGGGGAUGACGUCAAAUCAGCACGGCCCUUACGUCCGGGGCUACACACGUGUUACAAUGGGGAGUACAGAGAGUCGGUCGCACGCAAGUACGAUCCAAUCAUGAAAGCUCUCCUCAGUUCGGAUUGGGGUCUGCAACCCGACCCCAUGAAGCUGGAUU
rnacentral:rRNA from 1 species